rnacentral:lncRNA from 10 species
CAUGAAGACGGUCUCUGUGUCCUCAGCUCAAGAAUCCUGUAGCUUGUCCCAUCAUAAUCCAUUCACCCGUUCAUCAUGUGUACUGAGCAGCUACCAUGUUCAAGGUAAUAUGCCAGGCGCUGUAUGUCUCCACUGCCAAGUAGAAGUGACUCAAAACCCUCUGACAAGGAUAUUCCCUUGGCUAUGGUCCUGCCAGGUGCAGGCCCAGGCCCAUGACCCCACCUUUACUAAGCACAAGUACUUGCCACUGCCAUCACUGCCAAGUAACUAGAUGUCUCUGUUUCCCUGCCAAUGAUCCUGCAGGUUCUGCCCGGUCUGGUUAUCUUCCUGUUCCUGUAGCAUAGCCAGGCACUGCCAGUCACCUGUGCCCCCAUUGCUGUCAGCAGAUGUCUUGGGUCCUGAGUGUAAGGAGACAGGAGGAGUAGGAGGAGGCAGGGCCUCUCCAUGCCAGCCUCUGUGGUCCUUGCCCAAACCCAUCAGCGCAAUACUUGAACCUUCUCCCAGGUAGGGGCAGGAGGAGCCACAUGAGAGA